CGUAUAGUCUAUAGCGACGCUUUUCUAUAUAACCAGCAGGCCGAAUAGCGUCUGUUUUACACGUACACACACGUCCACACGUCCACACACGUCCACACGUCCACACGUCCACAGCUCCUCGCCUGUCGGCUCACUAACAGCGUCCACACUUUCAGGUCCAGCCUAGUGCCAUUCUAUCCAAGACCAGCAGACAUGAUUAUCAGACUGGGGCGCCUGACUCCUGGAUACUUCCGUCUCCUGCAGAGGCAGAUAGCCGGUGACGUUCAGUCCCAGCCGCAAGACCGCUCCCUUAAUCAGAUUGCCAUGAUGCUGGCCAUUAUGGGUCUUAGCCUGUCCUACUACAGCGCCAAACAGAUGACGGAGACGGUGCAAAGCAGCUCUGUGCCCUGAACAUGACCAUGACCGAAGAUCCAUUUCAUCCUGGAGAAGGCCUAGAAGCCGAAUCAGAGAUGGAGAUUUGAAGACCUUAUCCAGCAAUCUUUUUACACUACAACAUGUUGAUCCUGGUUAUUCUGGGUUUAGUCAGCAUGAGACGAGUUCAGGGUUUUUAGGGAACAGCGUCAAAAAAAAAAAAAGCAUUCAGACGUGGCCUGGGUCUUGAUGGUUGUGCUGGUACAUUACUCAGGGUUCCUUAAUACCAAAGAACAAAGCUUUGGCUUACUUCUCAAUGAUAUAUAUUUAAACAGAGGAAGUGCGUUUUACAGGAAAACCCUUCGCCCUAUGUAUCAAACAACUAUUGGUAGCAGAUCACUGAAAACUUGGGAUAUUUUAAAUUCUGCAUAAAUGGAGACAAGGUAUCACAGGGAACCCACACUGUUAGAGCAGAACCAAACUACACUACUAUAUGUAAUAAAAGGUCUGUUCUUGUUCGAUUUCUUUUACCGUACUAAUAAGUAGCCAUGUUUGUCGAGUUUAAUGAGCACAGACUUUAAAGGGACGUUAACAAGUGCACGUGUGUGAAGAUUUUAAAGAAUCCGAUAUGUGAUAAAUUACUUGUAUGAAUGUAUGUUUUGUUUUUUUAAAACUUGACUAAAUAAAGCUGUGAACAUUUUGAACAAGUCAA